CGGCGGACGGGNGAGUAACACGUGGGUAACCUACCUAUAAGACUGGGACAACUUCGGGAAACCGGAGCUAAUACCGGAUAAGAUAUCGAACCGCAUGGUUCGAUAGUGAAAGAUGGUUUUGCUAUCACUUAUAGAUGGACCCGCGCCGUAUUAGCUAGUUGGUGAGGUAACGGCUCACCAAGGCAACGAUACGUAGCCGACCUGAGAGGGUGAUCGGCCACACUGGAACUGAGACACGGUCCAGACUCCUACGGGAGGCAGCAGCG
rnacentral:rRNA from 1 species